rnacentral:lncRNA from 1 species
GCAGGCGAGAGGGAGAAGGAAGGGCGCCCGGGGAGCAGGCUGGCAGAGUGACCGGGAUUGAUGAGCGGCGCAGCUCUGGAGGGACGCGGGCGAGAGGGUCGCUCCUCGGGGAGAGGGCUGGUUUUGCCUUUUCCGGAAUGCCAUAUAUAAGGAAUCAUACAGUAUGCAGUCUUUCUUUCAAUUUUGCUGUGAAACUAAAACUGCUAAGAAAAUAAAGUCUUAAAAAGAAAAAUCAAUGGAGAAGGGAAAGCCGCCCUGCUGGUUGCCUCCACACCCCUCCUGCCGCCUUCCUCUCAGAACCCUAGCAGCUGUGUUCAGCGUCCCCCUCUUAAAGCAGCCACAUGCUCUGGGAAGACUGGCCCUCUGCGUCACAUCUGGCAGUCCCAUUCCUCUUGCUAAUGUGUGGUUCAGGAAUGGGCAGGUGGCCCAAUUCUGGUCAACAAGCCAUGAGAAGAAUCUGCUAGAGGUUUCCUUGCAUCUAAGAAAUGGUCUCUUUCGCCCUUGGACUUGGUUGGGUUUGGAUGUGAUGCCUCGAUCCUCUACAGCCUGAUGACAAAGACCACACCAAGGAUGGCAGAGUGGAAGGAUAAAAAGAACCAGGGCCUUCCAGCCUUUGUUGUAUGGCUGACUUAACCAACCUUGAAGGUGGCCUUACUCACGACUUCCUGUCAGAUGAGACAAAUUUCUUGGUUAAGAUACUUUGACAGGGGUUUUCCGUUUCAUACAACUGAAAGUAUCCUGACUUAAACACCUUUUGAGGUUCUGCCCCAAGCCUUUAUUGAUUUUCUCCUCUUGAAUCACCACCAGCAUUUCUGCAUUUCUCUUAGUACCACGUUUUUUCUAUUCCCCACACCCACCACCCCCUCUCUUCCCUAGCUGUUUCUGUCUCAAACAAUACAGGGAAACAUUUUAGGGUGUCUGACAGAUCACACCCACCCCUUUCUCAGACCUUCUCAACCACAAGGUGCUCUCCCACCUCCAGCGAGGUUUGUACUUCACAGUUGAUGGGGUCCCGGUAGAUUCAGGCUGGGCCAACCUGAGAGUCUGUCUCAGUAACAAAGGGAACCCUGCGCCCAGCUGAAGUGCAGGCAAUGUUUACCCGAAAGCUGGGGGUGGGUCCGCAUUUCCAGGAGGAAGCCAAGACUCUCCCUCAUCCUCUGCAGAAAGAGGAAGGAAGCCUAAACAGAGAAAAACAGUAGCAGAGUCUGACAGCCUGGGUGCUGUGUAUGGUUGUGCAUUUUGUGCUCUGAAAGGCUCCCAUCCCUGCUAAAGGCCUGCUUCUAGAUUUAAAGAGGACUCUGUCUUUGAGGUCUAUGAGAUUUUUAGAUGGAAUCAUUCAUCACAUCCCAUUUGGGCUUUAGAUACUUUGAAGUGAGUAUCUCAAAUUUUCAAAUCAAAGAACCCUGAUUAAAACAAAAGGUCUUCUCACCUCAAAUCCUUUAUGAAAUGAGGUCAACUUAAAAUACUUUUUAGUUAGCUAUGAUAUAAAAUUAAACUAUAUUUUUGUUAUAGUUAAUGAAUUAAUAUUGUAUCUUCUGUUCCUUAGUCGAAAAGUGAGCAGUUAAAUGGUCUAUUUCUCUAACAAAACAAUUAACUGAUUCCUCAGGAUUUACCGCCCACUGUGACCCUCUUGCCCUGUGCCCACACAUACCUACUAAAGACCAGUUUUCAGAUCCCCAGGAAUAACAUAAAAUGGGGCAUAUCUGUCUCGUAAAUAUGAUUGAAUAAGCAUAUGUAGAGCACAGUUGUUUCACUUUUAAGAAUCAAUUAUAAUCAUUUGUACAAUAAAAUGAAUUAUGUCUUUCACACAAU